ACGGGGUAGUAAUGUGUCGGAACGUGCCCUCUGGACGGGGAUAGCGGCGGGAAACUGCCGGUAAUACCCGAUGAACUCAAGAGAGCAAAGGUGUGAUUCCGCCGGAGGAGCGGCCGACAUGGUAUUAGCUAGUUGGCGGGGUAACGGCCCACCAAGGCUGUGAUGCCUAGGGGAUGUGAGAGCAUGAUCCCCACCAUUGGGACUGAGACACUGCCCAGACACCUACGGGUGGCUGCAGUCGAGAAUCUUCGUCAAUGGGCGAAAGCCUGAACGAGCGACGCCGCGUGCGGGAUGAAGGCCCUUGGGUUGUAAACCGCUGUCGAGGGGGAUGAAGGCUGGAAGGUACUCCUUCCAGUUUGACAGAGCCCUGGAGGAAGCACGGGCUAAGUUCGUGCCAGCAGCCGCGGUAAUACGAACUGUGCGAACGUUAUUCGGAAUCACUGGGCUUACAGGGUGCGUAGGCGGCUAUUCAGGUCAGGUGUGAAAGCCCUCGGCUCAACCGAGGAACUGCGCUUGAAACCGGAUGGCUCGAGUCAACUAGAGGUGCACGGAACUUCCAGUGGAGCGGUGAAAUGUGUUGA
rnacentral:rRNA from 1 species